rnacentral:rRNA from 1 species
AGGGCGAACGCUGGCGGCGUGCUUAACACAUGCAAGUCGAGCGGUGACCCUCCUUCGGGAGGUGAUCAGCGGCGAACGGGUGAGUAACACGUGGGCAACCUGCCCCUCACACUGGGAUAACCUCGGGAAACCGGGGCUAAUACCGGAUACGACCUCGAGCGGCAUCUCUUGAGGUGGAAAGCUCCGACGGUGAGGGAUGGGCCCGCGGCCUAUCAGCUUGUUGGUGGGGUAAUGGCCUACCAAGGCGACGACGGGUA